GAUGAACGCUGGCGGCGUGCCUAAUCCAUGCUAGUCGAACGAAGCGGCGAUGGGUGAGUAACCAGUGGAUAACCUCCUAUAAGACUGGGAUUACUUCGGGAAACCGGCGCUACAUCGGAUAAUCAUAGAGGGACACGCGCUGCAUUAGCUAGGUGGUAAGGUAACGGCUUACCAAGGCAACGCUCAAUCGCCGACCUGAGAGGGUGAUCUGCCACACUGGAACUGAGACACGGUCCAGACGCCUACGGGAGGCAGCAGUAGGGAAUCUGCCGCAAUGGGCGCAAGCCUGACAGAGCAACGCCGCGUGAGUGAUGAAGGUCUUCGGAUCUUAAAACUCUGUUAUUAGGGAAGCGGUACCUACUCAGAUAGCCACGGCUAACUACGUGCCAGCAGCCGCGGUAAUAC
rnacentral:rRNA from 1 species